rnacentral:rRNA from 1 species
GCUUACACAUGCAAGUCGAACGGAAACAGAGAGUAGCUUGCUACUUUGCUGUCGAGUGGCGGACGGGUGAGUAAUGCUUGGGAAUAUGCCAAAACGUGGGGGACAACAGUUGGAAACGACUGCUAAUACCGCAUAAUGUCUUCGGACCAAAGCAGGGGACCUUCGGGCCUUGCGCGUUUUGAUUAGCCCAAGUGGGAUUAGCUAGUUGGUAAGGUAAUGGCUUACCAAGGCGACGAUCCCUAGCUGGUCUUAGAGGAUGACCAGCCACACUGGAACUGAGACACGGUCCAGACUCCUACGGGAGGCAGCAGUGGGGAAUAUUGCACAAUGGGGGAAACCCUGAUGCAGCCAUGCCGCGUGUGUGAAGAAGGCUUUCGGGUUGUAAAGCACUUUCAGUGGGGAGGAAAGGGUUGUAGUUAAUAACUGCAAUCUGUGACGUUACCCACAGAAGAAGCACCGGCUAACUCCGUGCCAGCAGCCGCGGUAAUACGGAGGGUGCGAGCGUUAAUCGGAAUUACUGGGCGUAAAGCGCGCGUAGGUGGUUAAUUAAGUCAGAUGUGAAAGCCCAGGGCUCAACCUUGGAACUGCAUUUGAAACUGGUUAACUAGAGUUUUGUAGAGGGUGGUAGAAUUUCAGGUGUAGCGGUGAAAUGCGUAGAGAUCUGAAGGAAUACCAGUGGCGAAGGCGGCCACCUGGACAAAGACUGACACUGAGGCGCGAAGGCGUGGGGAGCAAACGGGAUUAGAUACCCCGGUAGUCCACGCAGUAAACGAUGUCUAUUAGAAGUUUGUGGCUAUAUGCCGUGGGUUUCAAAGCUAACGCAUUAAAUAGACCGCCUGGGGAGUACGGCCGCAAGGUUAAAACUCAAAUGAAUUGACGGGGGCCCGCACAAGCGGUGGAGCAUGUGGUUUAAUUCGAUGCAACGCGAAGAACCUUACCAUCCCUUGACAUCCAGAGAAUCACCUAGAGAUAGAUGAGUGCCUUCGGGAGCUCUGAGAC